AUUGAACGCUGGCGUCAGGCCUAACACAUGCAAGUCGAGCGGAGCGGCGGACGGGUGCGUAAUGCCUAGGAAUCUGCCUGGUAGUGGGGGAUAACGUCCGGAAACGGGAGCUAAUACCGCAUAUCAUAAGAUGAUCCUAGUUCGGAUUAGCUAGUUGUUGGGUUAAAGGCCUACCAAGGCGACGCUCCCUAACUGGUCGGAGAGUAUGAUCAGUCAAACUGGAAAUGAGACAAGGUCAAGACUCCUACGGGAGGCAGAAGUGGGGAAUAUUGGAAAAUGGGCGAAAGCCUGAUCCAGCCAUGCCGCGUGUGUGAAGAAGGUCUUCUGAUUGUAAAGCACUUUAAGUUGGGAGGCGUUACCAACAGAAUAAGCACCGGCUAACUUCGUGCCAGCAGCCGCGGUAAUAC
rnacentral:rRNA from 1 species